rnacentral:rRNA from 1 species
CUCCACCGGAAAAAGANGAGUGGCGAACGGGUGAGUAACACGUGGGUAACCUGCCCAUCAGAAGGGGAUACACUUGGAAACAGGUGCUAAUACCGUAUAACAAUCNAAACCGCAUGGUUUUGAUUUGAAAGGCGCUUUCGGGUGUCGCUGAUGGAUGGACCCGCGGUGCAUUAGCUAGUUGGUGAGGUAACGGCUCACCAAGGCCACGAUGCAUAGCCGACCUGAGAGGGUGAUCGGCCACAUUGGGACUGAGACACGGCAAACUCCUACGGGAGGCAGCAGUAGGGAAUCUUCGGCAAUGGACGAAAGUCUGACCGAGCAACGCCGCGUGAGUGAAGAAGGUUUUCG